GCCCGCCUAGCUCAAUCGGCAGAGCGUGAGACUCUUAAUCUCAAGGUUGUGGGUUCGACCCCCACGGUGGGUU